CACCCGGUGUUGCUCUCGUCUGCUUGAACCAAGAUAGCUCACGGUACAGCUCUGCUCCAAUCGGAAGGAUGGAGGGAGUAGGAAAGAAGACCACAACUCCUCCCUUCAAAGCUUCUCCCUGGAAGUUGUCUACCUCACUUUCUUUCACACAACAUUUCCUGGAAUCUGGUCACGUGGCUACAACUAAUUGCAAAGGAGGUGAGGAAACGGAAACACAGAGAAGAUUUGAAACUUACAGUCCUUCAGCUAGUGUGUUAUUCUAACCUACACACGCAUACAGGGAAAUGUGCUGGUCAGAUCUAACUGUGCCACAGACUCAGAGAACGAGGCCAGCGAGACUCUCGAAAUGGAUUGAAAACUG
rnacentral:lncRNA from 1 species